GGUCGAUGUGUGGAGUAAUAAUAGUAGAUGCAGAAUCGUUUCGGUCUACUUGACACGGACGUGAUGCCUAUGUGCAUAAUCAUUGCCUUAGAUAUCUUCAUAAUUAUUCGCUUUUCUAUCAAUUGCUCGAUAGUAAUUUUUUCACCCACCGUAUUAUUUUUCUUUAUGAGAGAAGCCUCUAGUGAAACCUAUGGCCCCGGGUCUAUUU
rnacentral:lncRNA from 1 species